CGCUGGGGAAGACAGCGUCUAAACGUGUCUUAAUAAAUGUGAAAUGUGCAUGGAAAUCAGCAGUGACUGGAACAACCACAGCUCUUCUCCUGGUGGUCAUACUCCUCGCUGUCUUCCUGUGGAUCAGAAGAAACAAGUCCUUCACACAACAGCGUGAGUGCGGUGAGAGACCAGAAGACAGAGCGCAGAUUUCAGCUGCGGCCCACACACGACCAGCAGAGCCGCACGAUGACGUCCACUACGCCAGUGU